GCAGACGGCGGAGAGCGGAGAUGGAGCGCGCCUUGGCCCGCUGGCCUCGGCUGCAGCUCCUCGGGAGAACCGGGGCGCCCACGCGAGAAUCUCCCCACCUGGGUCUCUUCAGGGAUGACAUCACCUGUUCACCUCCUUGUCUUCAAGGACCACCUCCCGAUGCCACGCUGCUGCCAAGAGGCCACUAGGAGCUCCGACCCCUGGAUGGCACCAGCAUACAAAGCAGCCACUGGCAGAGACCACCCCCCCACGCCCACACCACCAGGACGAGAAUGACUGAGGAUGAAGAGGACCAGAACCGACCAGCCAGCUCUUCCCUCUUGGCCGAAUGUUUAAACCAAUGCCCUAGUGAGGGGGCAUUGGUCAUUAACCCCUGACCUUUGCUAUGCUUAUGCCUUGAUGCUCUGAAUACUUUUCUAUAAGUCUCUACUUGUGUUCACUUGCCAGCGACCUGGAGUGUUUCCCUCCCCAAGGAGUUGUCAGUCUUUCUCCGCUGACAACCCCCUUGUUGCCUGUAUGAUGUACUGAACGGAAGGAUCCCUUUGGGAACUUCUCAGGAGGGGGACCUGGGCCAAGGGCUCGACCAGCAUCUCACUGGCAAUUCCAAGGCCCGGGGUGGGCUUCUGGAAUGAGCAUGUGCCCUGACGCCUGGCUACCGAACUGCCAAGGGCCUCCCCACCUCUCCCCACCUCUUCUCAGAUCUCCCUGUUCUUUCUGGGGAAUGGGGACAAGAAGAGCAGCCUCCCAGGGUUGUUGUGAGUAUUGAAUGAUAUAAAACCACCUCAGGCAGGGCUGGGCAUAGAGGAGGUGGUCAGCAAAUGUCUGUUGAAAAAGUUUGGUAGGUCGGUCCCUUCCCACCCCUGUCACUCUCGUCUCAUGCUUCUCGUUUAUUCUCCCACAGCGCUCCAGGCAGCCCCUGUCCACAGGGCUCUCCUUGAAGCAGCCAAGCUUCUCGAAAGGCCUGUCUACACUUGCUGUCUUCCUUCCUCACCUCCAAUUUCCUCUUCAACCCACUGCUUCCUGACUUGUUCUGCUCCGUCGAACGACCCUACCUCAGGUCAGCCCUGUCCCCGGCA